GUCGCUUAAUGCUACUAUGUAGCAGUGGGAGAACCGAUUUUUUGGGGUGUAUUCAUCCGCCCGGCCUGUUACGGCCCCGGAUGAUAGGGAACCUUUCUUUCCCGAACCCGGCAGCUAAUCUCAUAGGCGGAAGAGGG
rnacentral:sRNA from 1 species